CAGCAAAUAAAAAGGAAACAACAGCAAACAUUAGAAAGAGGUUGAAGAAAACAGAAAACCAGAGUAGGGACAGAAGGUCUUCUUCACCUAAGCUCUUUGUGAAUACAUUAGCAUCUCUGGCUGAAUGAGUACCUAGCAGCAACCUCACAAUAUAUCUAAGGUAAAACAGAAAACAUAAAAAAGGUACUUUUGAAUGCUAAGUCAACAAUGCUGUUCAAAUAGAUGGGAUGUCAGUAAUUGCACCUAAAAAUACUAUUCACUAUGUUAUUUCUCCUUAAAAGGUAGUAUGUGUCAAAAUGAAAGCUGCUGACUUUGGCUUAGACUUCUACCACUCAUCAAGGGCAGCAUGGAACCUGACAUAGGAAUCAACACAGACCUCAAAAGCACCGAAAAGGGCAAGAGAGCUUCACAGCUGCUCUACGAUAAACUCUCUAC